rnacentral:rRNA from 1 species
UACGGAGGGUGCAAGCGUUAUCCGGAUUUACUGGGUUUAAAGGGUGCGUAGGUGGAUAAUUAAGUCAGUGGUGAAAUCUUCAGGCUUAACCUGGAAACUGCCAUUGAUACUAUUUGUCUUGAAUACUUUGGAGGUAAGCGGAAUAUGUCAUGUAGCGGUGAAAUGCUUAGAUAUGACACAGAACACCGAUUGCGAAGGCAGCUCACUAAAUUGUAACUGACGCUGAGGCACGAAAGCGUGGGGAUCAAACAGG